CAGUAGCCGCGGUAAUACGUAGGUGGCAAGCGUUGUCCGGAAUUAUUGGGCGUAAAGGGCUCGCAGGCGGUUUCUUAAGUCUGAUGUGAAAGCCCCCGGCUCAACCGGGGAGGGUCAUUGGAAACUGGGAAACUUGAGUGCAGAAGAGGAGAGUGGAAUUCCACGUGUAGCGGUGAAGUGCGUAGAGAUGUGGAGGAACACCAGUGGCGAAGGCGACUCUCUGGUCUGUAACUGACGCUGAGGAGCGAAAGCGUGGGGAGCAAAUGGGAUUAGAUACCCCAGUAGUCCCUGUCUCUUAUAC
rnacentral:rRNA from 1 species